CCAGGAAGCAGGCGCUGCAGGGGACGGAAGGGUCGGAGCCCACAGCCGGGGGAGGCCAAGGAGCUGGGCGGAGGCACUCCAGGCCAGCCCGGGGAGAACUCUGGGCUUUCCCAGCUCCGAAGUCAAUACUGAGAUCCCAGAUGUGUCCAGAGACAUCCUGAAGAGGCUCGGGGGUGGAGGAGCCUUAGUGUGUCCACAAAGGGACUCCUGAAACUGACUGAGAGCCAGUGGAUUUGCCAGCAGUCUGAGCUUCUACCGAGUCUUCCCCCACCUCAAUCCCUGUUGCUAUGGAGACUACCAAUGGAACGGAGACCUGGUAUGAGAGCCUGCAUGCCGUGCUGAAGGCUCUAAAUGCCACUCUUCACAGCAAUUUGCUCUGCCGGCCAGGGCCAGGGCUGGGGCCAGACAACCAGACUGAAGAGAGGCGGGCCAGCCUACCUGGCCGUGAUGACAACUCCUACAUCACAGGUGAGUCUGGUCUCUCCUCUCAUUAGAAUAAUAUCCAAGAUUUCGGUUUAGGCAUAGAAGAAAUAGACAAAGCAAGGCUUUCAGCCAAACUUGUAUGGAAAAAGAAUCUUCUUUCAGGUGCUGCUAAGAAACCAAGAACAUUAUUUCCCUGGAUGAAAUGAGAGAACCAUCUGUGGAAGUGGUUGAACUGUGAUGGAGAAUGAGCUCCUGGGAACAAGAAAGUCAGAAAUUCAUGAACAGGAAAGAAAAAUUAAUAUUUGAUGAACAACUGAAUUCCUCACUGCCUGUUGCCCUGGGACACAGGGAGCUGUCUCACCAAGGUUACAGCUCCUUCUUGGAGCGGCUCACAACCAAUGAGGAGCUGAUACAGGGAUCCAAAGGUCUGAUUCCAUCACUGAUUUGGGGCAACUCUGAGAGGCCAUCUUGGCUCCAGAAUUCCCCAUAGGAUCAGCUGAGGCUUCAGUGGCAACCACAUUGUGAAUUAGCUUCUUCCUCCGCCCACCCCUGCUUUCUCACUUCCUAUUUCCCAAGAGUACUUCCCCCAACAACCUUCUGCAUGCGAUUCUCCAUUUCAGUCUGUUUCCAAGAGAAUCCAUCCCUUCCUCAAGAACUGUGCCCUAACAUGGAGUCCAUUCCAAAGUCAGUACCAGUGAUAAUUGAGCAAUGGGAUGAUAGAAUGUAGAUGAGGCAGUUAGUGGUUCCAGCAAACCAAAAAGAUGGCAAGGCAGUGAGAGACCAGCAGUGUAGGAAACAGCCAGCUAUAUUCAUUGAAAAAGAAGAACUAGCCACUAGAGGGCCCAACACUACAGGUUUACAGCUCUGCUGCUACUUUUUAGAGCACAGAAUUUUGCCCUUCAUCUGGCAGACAUCCAGUGUAAUUGUCUACACAGUGGGGGAACAUUGUUGGCCAUGCUUCCUUCUCUUUUACCUAUUCUGGAGACACCAGUGUCCUGGCCUGUUCCAAUACCCCAGCACCAAGCCCCCGUGCCAUUACAUAUGAGCCUAUUCCCAUAAAUCAAGGCUUCCAGAGCCUGUUUUUAAUACCCACUGUUCUCAUUGUUUCAAGGGACUCUGAAGAUGUGAAAUGUGAAAUCCAAAUAAUUGGUUGUGACCAUCCUCACCUAGGAAUGGAGAGAAUCAGCAACAUAUUGUCUAGUUCUGCCACUUUCUCUACCCCCCAUCCCCCCACCCACCAAUUUGUAAUAAAGAUAAGACACACAGACUUAGAUGCAAAAUAUAGUAGCCAAGGGAGAAAGGGGAUAUGAGAGCCUUCUCAGAAGAUGAAAAAGUUUGAGAACAUUGUAUAAUUGAGUGAAUUAAUGAAUUAUUUCUACCAUGGAUUUAUUUAAAGACUUAAAGGAAAUUUUCUUCUGUACCCUAUUUGGAAGGACAGUCCUUUGUAGGUUGGGGGACUUCCCUUACCUCAGGAGGAAAAUAUUGGGAGGUCUCUAUAAAUUUCUCAAGGGUCAGAGUUAGAUUGUCUGUGAGAGGGAAAACUCUGAGGAUUAAAGGGACAAGAGCUGGAUUCUACAAGACCAGGAGGAUGGAGGGGUGGUGGAAGUCAGCCCGUGAACUCUCCCCCAUUGCCCUCAUAGUAUCUCUGGCAGUGAUGACUACAAAGACACCUGGGGGAUAGUUACCAAACCAUAGCUUUGGGACCAUACAGGAGUUCUGGGUGGCCAGGUUUACAAUGGAAGCAGUAAAUAUCUUACGCAAGUGGGCCAGAUACCUCUGGCUGCUCCACACCUGCUUGGACAAUGAGCACCUUCACCACAACUGCAAUGGACUGAGAUGGUCCCCCAGGUUUUCCGGAUUGGGUAAGCCCUGGGGUUUUUGCAUCCCCACAAAGUCUCUGAAAUUAGAUGUUCCACAAACCUGGCAGGUGGGGGUGAAGCUAAAUUUAAUUGGAUUUGAAUUAGACAGAUAAAAGUUUGAUUUGAUUCAGAAAUAAAUAAAUAAAUAUAAUGUUCUUCUACUUGCUAUAGAGCAAAUUAAAUGGGUUACAAUAUUGGGAGCUCUGACAUCGCAAUAGCAAACCUAGCCUGGCCCGGUUAAUAAAAGAAUAGUAAUACUCUAUUGAGGGGUUGCCACGUGUUAGGCAGUGCAUUCUUUCAUUUAAUCCUCACAAUAUACCUAUGAGGUAGACUGAGACUUAGAGAAGUCAAGUGGGUUGCCCAAGGUCACAUGGUUAGUAAAUGGCAAACCAAGUUUGUUGGACUCCAUGUCUAACUUCUAUAGCCAUUCAUUCCCUGUUGUCUAGCCAUUCAUUGACUGACAUCUAAUCCAUCAUUUACUAAUCUGUUUAGCCAGAUAUGCACUCAGACAGUAAAUAGAAUUAACAGUUAUUCUGUUCCUUAAACAUUGAGACAGAUCUAGUUGUAGUUUAGAGAACAAAAGAAUCUUAGAAUCAUAGAAUGUUUGCACUGGCAGCUGGUCUAGAGGGAAGAGCAAAGCUUUAGAACCAGGUGGACUAGCUUGGAAUGUUGGCUCUGCUAUUCAUUCUGUAUAUGACCUUGAGCAAUUUAUUUAACCUAAUUCUCAGCUUCCAUAUCUGUAUAUCACAAAUAUAUGCACAUUCUCUCUAGACUAAUAUGAAGAGUAGAGAUAAUGUCACAUGGAACAAGUGCAAAAAUGCAAGUCCCAGCACAAAAUGAAAAUGCUGGCACCUUGUUCAAAAAUUACCGAUAAUUUAAAGAUGGUGACAGCAGAGUAUUAAACCAAGUGUGGGGGCCCUUGUAAGCAUAGGCCAUGGUGGCACAUCCACAGCCUGGCACAGAGUGGGUCUGCAAUAAAUUGUAGUCCUUUUUCUCUCUAGAUCACUGAUUAUAACCCUCUCCUUUUGCAGAUGAGGAAACUGGAGUCCAAAGAAGAGUUUAAAAAUGCAAAUCAGGGCCGGGCACGGGGGCUCAUACCUGUAAUCCCAGCACUUUGGGAGGCCAAGGUGGGUAGAUCAUGAGGUCAGGAGUUCGAGACCAGCCUGGCCAACCUGGUGAAACACCGUCUCUAUUAAAAAUUAAAAAAUUAGCCAGGUUCAGUGGCAUGUGCCUGUGAUCCCAGCUACUCAGGAGGCUAAGACAGGAGAAUCGCUUGAAUCCGGGAGGCAGAGGUUGCAGUGAGCUGAGUUCACCCUACUGCACUCCAGCCUGGGCAAUAGAGCAAGACUCCUUCUUGGUGGAGGGGGGGAACACAACUUAGUACCAGAGCCAAGACCACAACCAGACCUCCUUUGUUCCUAGCCAGUGGUCUUUACCCAGCAUUUCCAAAGCCUGUGUUCUAUAUGAUGAUAAUAGAUAUUCCAUGUAUAAAAGUUUCCAUCAACAAGCAAGUUUAUAAAACACUGGAUUAAGAUUAAAGAGACAUCUUUUGCAGAGCUCUUCAGAGACUUUUAUGUGCAACAGGAGUCUCCAAGACAGGGAUAUAAUAUGAAACAUUGCACAAAAGUAUUUGAUGUGGGACCCUUUUGCAGGAGCAUAUUAAGCGUCUCUCAGAACUCUUUCAGAAAUGCCACUCUAAACACUGCCCCAGGGUGAUGGAAGUUUCCAUGGGUUUUGAUCUGUGGGGUGUGGUUGUUUUUAUUCUAAAUUAGAAGCAAAUAUAUUAUUUCCACUAGUCCUUUCUGUCAGCAUCCCUGUCCCAGCUGACUUGUGAGCCUGAGGAUAUAAAGAUAAUGAAAACCAGACUCCAGGAAAAGCACACUUGUUUAGAGUCACCCAGCUGCAUCCAUAAGGCAGAUGCAAUAUGCCUCUCUCCCAAGAGUAGAACACAGACAAAACAUACACUAGGAUCCCAAAAUUCUUUCCAUUCUGGGUAAUUUGCUCACAGACAUCACAUUGCAAAAGUAAUAGCCAAAGUCCCCUAUAAAGUCACAUAAGAAGCUGGGAAAUCAGGAUUCUUAUCUCAGCACCUUCAUUUAUUAGCUGUUUGACCUAAAUUGAUCAAUUCAUCAGCUCGUCACUUUGCUUUUAUCAAAUACCUUCUUGCAUCAAAUUAAAUUAAUUUCUCCCUUUGUUGAACUACCAUUAUUUCAUCUGUAGCACUCUCCCCCCAGGACUUUGAGAAUCUCUAUGGAAUGUAGUUUGAAAAUCAGCAGAUUGGAUGAUUACUAUAGAUCAUCCAGUCUAUAUGGAUGGAUGAAAUCUAUACAGAAUCUAUAGGGAAAGGAACUAUAGUUCCUUUCAGCUAUAAUAGUCUGUGAUUCAAAUUUAUAUACAGUUUUGCGACCUAUUGCCUCUGCCUAUUAACCAAGGACCCUAGUUCCCUGAGAAAUGCACCUCUUAAUUUCUGAGAGGCCUGGAGAGUGAUUCUCACAUGCUGAAUUGAUGAGAUGCCAGGUGACUUGGACACUUCUGGAGUUCCCAGUACAUAGCAUCUGUUACAUGGAAUGCAUGGAGGUGAGGAAACUCUCUCUCCCCAUCGUGCUAUACUUUGUCACAUGGGUUUCUAAUGGGUAAUAUUUAUGUCCUUUGCUUUCAGUAAAGCAGCUCUUCUAUAUUUUGCUGAUUCCUUCCUAACCCCAGUUUCCCUCUACAAAUUCCUAAGCCUGAGCUGCAGCAAGGUCAAGAAACAAAUCUGUAUGACAAACCUAAUGUUAAAUGUUGGCUCAUUCCUCCUUGAUUUUGAAGAUUCUAUUACUGGAUCCAUGUUGCCUAUCUCCUUACUUUCCUUAAGAUGAGUUCUCUCCCAGGAGAGACCCAAAGCCCUCACAAAAAAUGGACUUUGGGUGAGUUGGGCCUACUAGGUCGAAUAUGCCCAAUUGGUUCCUCCAGGAAGCAGAUGCCAAAAUGGAGUGAGAAGUGCCAGAAAUGUACUGGGGCGGGGAAUGCCUGUGAGGGAGCAGGAGUAGAUGCGGGAGCCUCAGAUGGUGAUGCAGAUCUGACACCAGCGAAAAAAAGAGGGAAGGAAGAAGGACCAGGCAGGAGGAGCGUCAGGUUUCAAUGCAGCUCUGAGAAAGUCUCAGCCAGGCUGAUGAGGAGCCCCAGAGCAGAGACUGCCCAUUACAGGAGUCCCAUGUUGGGCAGGAAUGGCUUGACUUUCAUACGUCUGCAGAGCUUGGUCAGUGGCAGGGAGAAGGCCAGGGUGAGCAUAACCGGGGUGUAAACACUGCAGGAGAGCCCAAAGGUGCUGCUGCCUGAGGCCGGCCACUAACUGCUCUUCUCCCAGCAGGCUCCCUGUGGGAGACCUGAACAGCUCACUCCUGGUGGCUGCCAUAUCACGAAUACCCACACCUGUGUGAAUUCCAAAAGUGGACAUAAUUUAAGCUCAAACGGAGCCCCAAAUGUACAUUUAUUACAAUUUUUUGUUGAGUGUACAAAAAGUAUUGCACUUGGCACAGCAGCAGCCCCACCCUCACCAGUGGAACAAUCGAAGCGAAAAAGGACUAGUCUGGGAAGGUUUCAGGUAAACAAGUGAGUUUUUCUUACCAUGAUUGUCAACAACAGCCUCCAUUAUAGAUUAACACUGUGUCAAGCUUAGUACGAGAGAACAAUUCUCAGGGAGCUUAAGUUUGCAAUAAAAUAUUCCUCACACGAGGCGCUCAGAGCAGACUUUUGAAGAGUUUACAUGCCAAUCACUGGAUGCUCCAAGGAGGGAGGAGCUUCUUAGUAGAACUGGCCCUGGAGGCUACCAGAGAGACCUUGAAAUUGAUCUGGCAGCCAACUGGGUGGUGCAAGGACAUGCUCCACCCCUAGGACCCUGCCAGCCAAGCUGUAGGAUUUUUUGAGAGGCAGGCCCAACACCUGUUGUGGCUGCUGGAUGAGAUUCAAAAUAUAAGGAGAAAAGACAGAAGAGGAAGGAACUGGAAAAGAGGAAUUUGUAGCUAGAAGAAGAAAGACAGCACGCUUUUCAGAACCGUGCCAGAAUUCAUCCCAGGCUAAUCACCUGCCAAAAAAGAGAUAGUGUCAGUGGUAGAAAGAACAUUGGAGAGGACACUUAAGCUCUGCUGCUAACUCCUCAGCUGACCUUUGUCACUCAAUGCCCCUCUGGGCCUGUGCUCCUUGGCUGUAAUCUGCAGAGCUAAGCCAGACACCUAAAAUUCUUCCAUUUGAACAGUCUAGGAAUCGAACAACCUUCCUUAAAAUAAUCUUGGAA
rnacentral:lncRNA from 1 species